rnacentral:rRNA from 1 species
UACGUAGGGACCGAGCGUUGUCCGGAAUCAUUGGGCGUAAAGAGCGUGUAGGCGGCCACUUAAGUCCUGCGUGAAAUCUUGCGGCUCAACCGCAAGCGGUCGUGGGAAACUGGGUGGCUAGAGUGCGGGAGAGGAGAGUGGAAUUCCUGGUGUAGCGGUGGAAUGCGCAGAUAUCAGGAAGAACACCCGUGGCGAAGGCGGCUCUCUGGAACGCAACUGACGCUGAGACGCGAAAGCGUUGGGAGCAAACAGG